rnacentral:rRNA from 1 species
UGGGGAAUUUUCCGCAAUGGGCGAAAGCCUGACGGAGUGACGCCGCGUGUGGGACGAAAGCCUUCGGGUCGUAAACCACUGUCAGUGGGAAAGAUGGGUGUCGGCAUUAAUACCGCCGGCAUCUGACGGUACCUGCAGAGGAAGCCCCGGCCAACUCUGUGCCAGCAGCCGCGGUAAGACAGAGGGGGCAAGCGUUGCUCGGAAUUACUGGGCGUAAAGGGCGCGUAGGCGGGAUGGCAAGUCGGUCGUGAAAUCCUUCGGCUCAACCGAGGAACGUCGAUCGAUACUGCUGUUCUUGAGGAUUGCAGAGGAGACUGGAAUUCCCGGUGUAGCGGUGAAAUGCGUAGAGAUCGGGAGGAAGGCCGGUGGCGAAGGCGGCGCUCUGGAACGUUUCUGACGCUGAGGCUCGAAAGCGUGGGGAGCAAACAGGAUUAGAUACCCUGGUAGUCCACGCCCUAAACGAUGGAUACUAAGUGUCGGCGGGUUACCGCCGGUGCCGCAGCUAACGCAGUAAGUAUCCCGCCUGGGGAGUACGGCCGCAAGGUUGAAACUCAAACGAAUUGACGG